CACUCCUGCGGGAGGCAGCAGUGGGGAAUUUUGGACAAUGGGCGAAAGCCUGAUCCAGCAAUGCCGCGUGUGUGAAGAAGGCCUUCGGGUUGUAAAGCACUUUUGUCCGGAAAGAAAUCCUUGGCUCUAAUACAGUCGGGGGAUGACGGUACCGGACGAAUAAGCACCGGCUAACUACGUGCCAGCAGCCGCGGUAAUACGUAGGGUGCGAGCGUUAAUCGGAAUUACUGGGCGUAAAGCGUGCGCAGGCGGUUUGCUAAGACCGAUGUGAAAUCCCCGGGCUCAACCUGGGAACUGCAUUGGUGACUGGCAGGCUAGAGUAUGGCAGAGGGGGGUAGAAUUCCACGUGUAGCAGUGAAAUGCGUAGAGAUGUGGAGGAAUACCGAUGGCGAAGGCAGCCCCCUGGGCCAAUACUGACGCUCAUGCACGAAAGCGUGGGGAGCAAACAGGAUUAGAAACCCGAGUAGUCCCAUG
rnacentral:rRNA from 1 species